CCNACACAUGCAGUCGAGGGGUAACAUUGUAGCUUGCUACAGAUGACGACCGGCGCACGGGUGCGUAACGCGUAUACAACCUGCCUUUCGCUGAGGGAUAGCCCAGAGAAAUUUGGAUUAAUACCUCACGGUAUUACGGUAUCGCAUGGUAUUGUAAUUAAAGGUUACGGCGAAAGAUGGGUAUGCGUCCCAUUAGCUAGAUGGUGUGGUAACGGCACACCAUGGCAACGAUGGGUAGGGGUCCUGAGAGGGAGAUCCCCCACACUGGUACUGAGACACGGACCAGACUCCUACGGGAGGCAGCAGUGAGGAAUAUUGGGCAAUGGGCGCAAGCCUGACCCAGCCAUGCCGCGUGCAGGAAGACUGCCCUAUGGGUUGUAAACUGCUUUUUUACGGGAAGAAUAAGGGCUACGUGUAGCCUGGUGACGGUACCGUAGGAAUAAGCACCGGCUAACUCCGUGCCAGCAGCCGCGGUAAUACGGAGGGUGCAAGCGUUAUCCGGAAUCAUUGGGUUUAAAGGGUCCGUAGGCGGGCUAUUAAGUCAGGGGUGAAAGUUUGUGGCUCAACCAUAAAAUUGCCCUUGAUACUGGUAGUCUUGAGUUAUCGUGAAGUGGUUGGAAUAUGUAGUGUANCGGUGAAAUGCAUAGAUAUUACAUAGAACACCGAUUGCGAAGGCAGAUCACUAACGAUCGACUGAC
rnacentral:rRNA from 1 species